GUCAGCGUGUGUCCCCCGGGGCUCCGCGCCUGGUGGUGGAGGCCUGGUGACCGCCCGGCGAAGGGUAGGGGGAGGAAGCAUGGGCGGACGCCAGGGACCAGAUUUGCAAGGCUUCCCUUUCUAGAAAAACGUGAGAAUACUUCCUACCUACCUUAGGGGAAAUUACUUCCCUUGAUGCUUAAACACACACUCGGUCCACGUGGGAAAGCACGUCUCGGUAGCUGUAGAUGAUUGGAAAAGACGUCUGCGCAGUCCUCGUUUCUAGCCGUUCUCAUGUUUUAAGUGAACGUCCUUUGGAUUUGGCAUAGAAGCCACUUUUCUUGUUUCAGAAAAAAAGUACACAACCCUUUCAGCUAUAAACUGCGCCUUUCAAGGUGACAUUCACCCCAGUAAGCAUUUGAAAUUCUCGCUGUAUGCCCAGAGGAGAAAACAUCGUAAUUAAGGAACUUAGCCCUCAUCCCUCAUCUGAGCAUUUUUCUUGUCAAGAGUGGGAAAAGAAGGAUUUAUUGACCUACUCCAUUAUAUAGCAGAAGGGAAUUUUAGUAGAUAUUUUCGUCUGUUCAGCGUUCAUUCCCUAAUUCUGAUCAUUUCUUUUGGGGAACUAUUCACUCAGUCCGCGGGGCUGGGGUAGGUAGGACUCCACAGGGACAGCAUAUUUGAGUUAAUCCUCUGCCUUAGGCUGGGGUUACCAGGAAGGGUGCUCUCUGCCAAUGGACUUAAAUCUGGGAAAAUGAAGGCCUGAAGCCAUCCUUCCACUUAGGGAUUAUUCUGAGAAAGAAGACAACAUGGAAAAAAAGCAGAUCGAAAGAUGGAGAUGCGGCCUGGAAAUACGUUUGAUGCCCAGAAUUCAAUGUGGACUAAAUAACUGGAAAUUUCAGUUAAAUUAGUUCUUUCAUAUUUGUGUUUUAUUGCUUAAACUAGUGAGAAGUUUUCUGUCACUUGCUGUCCUGAAUCCUAAGGGAUGCUGGUAGCAGGAGAGGAAGCAAAGUUAAUACCAGUAAGGACAUGGUGUCCUCUCAAACUUUGUGUGAGGAAUUGAUGAGCUGGUAAACAGCAGGGCUCUAAUUUGCAUAAAUUGCUCUGUACAGAGUUUCUGUGAGCACCUGGAGAGAGAAGACAUUUUUUCUUCAGAGAAUGAGAUGAAGACGAUGAGGGCCCCCGGGAUGGCCUUUGUUCCUGGACUGGCUUAGAGCCCGGGCAGCGUAGCUGGGACCUAAUGCUAGAGAGAUUUGUGAAACUGUGGGAGCUUGCAGUGUCUCUGGGGCUUGGACUUGGGGGAAUGUCCACUCAACCCAAUUGUCAUAUACCAGGCAGGAAGAGAAGUGGUAGAGUGAGAAGAGUGAUUACUCUAAGGUCAGACUAAACUGUGUUUAAAUGCCAACACCCACUUACGAGCAGCAUGAUCGCAGGCAAGUAUUUAAUUUCUCUAAGCUUCAGUUCCCCAAGUGCAAAUGGGAAUGAUAUUAAUACCUACUUGCAUAGGA